CCUACGGGAGGCAGCAGUGAGGAAUAUUGGUCAAUGGGCGCGAGCCUGAACCAGCCAAGUAGCGUGAAGGAUGACUGCCCUACGGGUUGUAAACUUCUUUUAUAAAGGAAUAAAGUGAGUCACGUGUGCCUCUUUGUAUGUACUUUAUGAAUAAGGAUCGGCUAACUCCGUUCCAGCAGCCGCGGUAAUACGGAGGGUCCGGGCGUUAUCCGGAUUUAUUGGGUUUAAAGGGAGCGUAGAUGGGUUGUUAAGUCAGUUGUGAAAGUUUGGGGCUCAACCGUAAAAUUGCAAUGGAUACUGGCAGGCUUGAGUACAGUGGAGGUAGGCGGAAUUCGUGGUGUAGCGGUGAAAUGCUUAGAUAUCACGAAGAACCCCGAUUGCGAAGGCAGCUUACUACACUGCCACUGACAUUGAUGCUCGAAAGUGCGGGUAUCAAACAGGAUUAGAUACCCCUGUAGUC
rnacentral:rRNA from 1 species